rnacentral:rRNA from 1 species
AACGAACGCUGGCGGCAUGCCUAACACAUGCAAGUCGAACGAGACCUUCGGGUCUAGUGUCGCACGGGUGCGUAACGCGUGGGAACCUGCCCUUCGGUUCGGUAUACCUCCCCGUACUGGGUGCUAAUACCGGAUAAUGUCUUCUGACACAAGAUUUUGCGCCUUUGGCUGAGGACGCGUGAGGUUAGCUUGUUGGUUUGGUAAAAGGCUACCACGGCGCCGAUCCAUAGCUGGGCGGAGAGGAGGAUCAGCCACACUGGGACUGAGAGACGGCCCAGACGAAUACGGGAGGAAGCAGGGGGGAAUAUUGGAGAAUGGGCGAGAGCGGGAUCCAGCAAUGCGGCGUGAGAGAUGAAGGCCUUAGGGUUGUAGAGCUCUUUUAUCUGUGAGGAGAAUGACGGUAGCGGGAGAAUAAGCGCCGGCUAACUCCGUG